ensembl:lncRNA
UUUUCGAAUGUAUCCUGCUCUGUCGCUGUCAGUGUUUUUCACUGCGUGAGAACAUGAUGUGUGGUAUGAGAGCACCAUGGCUUGACGGACGUAGCAACAGUAACUAAGGGGGGGGGGGUCUUUGUGAAGGAUCAGUUUCAUUGUAAUAUGCUUGAACUGCUCUGUCGUGCCGAUAAUGUAGUAAGUAUGGAGGGAAGAGAUGUUGAAUAUUUGAUCGCCAACAAAUUUACAAAGCUCCCUUUUGAGCAGCAGAUAAAAAUAAAAACUGAAGGACGACCCACGCCGAAGCUGGAAAUAAAACAGUCUUAAUUGUUGACGGCUGAACGCGCUGUUUUAGAACAGAAUUAUUAUUAUUUUGCAAAGCGUUAGCCAGUGGCUAAUGUUAAUAGAUGAUAAAUACGCCUUGAAGAAUCGAAGGAGAUGGGUGUAUUCUACCACAGAGUCAUAGACACCUUCGCUGCUAAAAAGGACAGGAGGAUGGAUUCAUUCUUCAAGUAACAGAUGUUAACUGAUGGACUGGAGUGCUGUGGAUUACUUGUGGAUUAUUGUGAUGUUUUUAUCAGCUGUUUGGACUCUCAUUCUGACGGCACCCAUUCACUGCAGAGCAUCCAUUGAUGAGACACUGAUGCAGUGCUGCAUUUCUACAAACCUGAUGAAGAAACACACUCAUCCUGAUCGCAGAUGAACUGAGGGUGAGCACACAGCUAAUGCUCAUUUUUGGGUGAAAAAUUCCUUGAACGAUCACAUGCAUUCACAAACUUUCUAAGAAAAGCUAAAUUGAGUUUUCUUUCUAAAAUGAUGCUGUAAAACUGAUUGCAUCAUUAGUGUUGUAUUAUAUACACACAGAGAUAACAGUUUGCAAUGCUGUCAACACACUUCUUCUCUCGGUUCACCUGGAGAUGAAAAAAAAAAAAGUUUAAAAUCAAAACAUACACCGCAUUUUAAUGACUUUGCAGGCCAAACAAUUUAUUCAUCUAUCAUGCAACCUAUUUACAUUUCCCAGAUACCACCUGUCCAGAGCACCAAACACACUUUAACCCAUUACAGCUGGCCAUAAACAGUGAGAAACAAGAGCUGACAAGAUCCCCCCCAACAAAGUCAUGUGUUUACAAUCACGCCCAAACAUAAGCAUGAUAAAGCUGAAACCUGAGGAAAAAUUCAGCCAUGAAUAGGUCAGGUGCACUUCUUAAAUAUUUUCCUCAAGAUACGAAAGCUUGCAUAACUUGGACACAUCAACUAAUUUCACUUAAAUGAGCAGAUAAAACACAGCACAGAACAUUUCAAUAUAUACAGGACAGGAGAGCAACAGACUACACAUUUACUACUGUAGGAUUCCAAAUGAACAUUACAGAGAGGUUCAUGUUUACUGGCAGACGGAAAAUGGAGAGACGCAGAGAUGUCCCUGUAAAAUUGCACAGUCCUGUGGUAAGAAAUGUUCAAGUCAUCUCUACACUUACACUGUUGUUAAAAUGGCCAAAAAAAAAAAGAAAAAAAAAGAAAAGAAGAGAAGAGAAAAGAAAAGAAAAAGCGAAUUCUAUCACAGAAUUGUUUUAAAUAAUAGUUCACUCAAAAAUAAAAAUAAAAAUUGCUGUAAAUCUGCUCACCC